GGUCAAGAUAUUUAUAAGACAAACGUGGUUGGUGAGAACGAUACGUGACAACACUGAGGGGAAUUUCCCGAUGCGUGACAGCGUCCAAAAAGGAUUUGGAUAGUAACAGCUGUCAAGACUUCCUUAUUGCAAAGCUUACUGAAAAUCAUGAGUAUGGCUAUACAACACUGAUAGCAGACAUAACCAAGAACUUAUCCCGAGUGUUUCAGUAACCAUUAUGUUUCCGAGACAAUGCUUCGAGUGAGGAAGUUUGAAUCUUCACAGUGACUUCAACUCAGUAGCGAGAGGACAGUGGACGGACAUACCUUCUCGUAAACCUCGAAGGCCGUGAGGUCGGCGACGGGGGGCUCCUCGUCUGCUGCAGGCUGGAGGAAGUACUGCCUGACGAUGAUGCUGUGAUGAAGAGGUCUCUGCUUCCUGUGUGUGUGUGGUAUUUCUUUCAUGCACAGAAGACCCAGAGGCAUCACUACUUGUCAAGGUGAAGUGAAUGCCUGUUAGUUUCUCAGCAUACUUCAGCUUGUCAUGUAAGUACUGUACAGCAAAUGUUCUUCUCUAUACAUUAGUCUUGAUUUCCCAUCCAUCUGCUGUAUUAUAUUGAUUUUCCUCCUGUCUUCUGUAUUAUAUUAACUGAAGAUAAGUCAUUACUGUUCUUAAUGCAUUGCUGUUAAUGACUCCUGUUCUGUCCAACACUCGUGGAUGGCACAGUGUUCUUGUGUCUUAAUACAGUAGGUAAUCACUCUCUUGGUCAUAGUCUUUGUUAGGGCUCACUUCAUGAAAUUUGUGGUUGGUUGACUAGUGAAGAACCUUGUAGUUAGAAUUCUCUUUAUUGUAUGUAUAUUUACAACAUUCGUCAACCUCAACAUAUAUACACAUCACUUCAUUCACAUCAUUGUCAAGAAAAUCAUAGUUUCUGCAGAUGAAAACAACAUAAGUACACUGAUUACUUCUGAAGGUGAGUCCAGCAUCUCAGUGAUCAGCUCAGUAGCACAGGUAAAGCUUCUGCCCAGUAUAUCCAGUGAGAUCCUAAACAUUACAGGAAGGUAUGAGAAUCUUUUGCUGCAACAGACCAUGGGAAAAAAAAAAAACAUAACAAAACACCAAUUGUCUCCAUCUAUCUACAUAUAUACACAAAAGAUAUGAAGCAGAACAACCACUUAUUAGUUUACAAAAUAAAAUUACUGCUUAUUAAAUCAUUCGUUUUAACACACACACACACACACACACACACACACACACACACACACACACACACACACACACACACACACACACACACACACACACACACAGAUUUGAUGCUAAUGUGAUGGCAGCACACUUUCACUUGUACAAAUUUUUAUUGCAUAUAAAAUUCCUCCACUCAGUAUGUACCAGAAUACAGCAUUGUAUUGAGGUAGUACAGAAUGUGAAUGGUAGGACAGAUUUCGCUCGGCAUAAAGUGGACACUGUAUGGACGUGACUAGUUUCAGGACUGACGGAACGAGCACAGAGGAGUGAGCAAGGCGGGAGUGGCUGCAGCACCAACACUGAACAGCACCAUUGCCUUCACUGCUCCACAUGUCACACUUCAUGAUGGGGUCAAGUUGGCACCAAAUAUCACUCAAAUAUCACUCACACCAGAUGUUGCCAAUCACCAGUCAUCACUUUGGCAGCAAACACACAACAGGUAUGUAAUUUUUUUUUUUUUUUUUUUUUUUUUU